UACGAAGGGGGCUAGCGUUGCUCGGAAUCACUGGGCGUAAAGCGCACGUAGGCGGAUUGCUAAGUCAGGGGUGAAAUCCUGGAGCUCAACUCCAGAACUGCCUUUGAUACUGGCGACCUUGAGUCCGGGAGAGGUGAGUGGAACUGCGAGUGUAGAGGUGAAAUUCGUAGAUAUUCGCAAGAACACCAGUGGCGAAGGCGGCUUCCUGGACACUAACUGACGCUGAGACGCGAAAGCGUGGGGAGCAAACAGG
rnacentral:rRNA from 1 species